rnacentral:rRNA from 2 species
GACAGAGGGUGCAAACGUUGUUCGGAAUUACUGGGCGUAAAGCGAGUGUAGGCGGUCUGCUAAGUCGGGUGUGAAAGCCCCGGGCUCAACCCGGGAAGUGCACUCGAAACUGGCAGGCUAGAGUAUCGGAGAGGUUGGUGGAAUUCUCGGUGUAGAGGUGAAAUUCGUAGAUAUCGAGAGGAACACCGGUGGCGAAGGCGGCCAACUGGACGAAUACUGACGCUGAGACUCGAAAGCGUGGGGAGCAAACAGG